rnacentral:rRNA from 1 species
AAUAGAUACCCCGGUAGUCCACGCCGUAAACGAUGGAUACUAGCUGUUGGGCGCAAGUUCAGUGGCUAAGCGAAAGUGAUAAGUAUCCCACCUGGGGAGUACGUUCGCAAGAAUGAAACUCAAAGGAAUUGACGGGGGCCCGCACAAGCGGUGGAGCAUGUGGUUUAAUUCGAUGAUACGCGAGGAACCUUACCAAGGCUUAAAUGUAGAUUGACCGGUUUGGAAACAGAUCUUUCGCAAGACAAUUUACAAGGUGCUGCAUGGUUGUCGUCAGCUCGUGCCGUGAGGUGUCAGGUUAAGUCCUAUAACGAGCGCAACCCCUGUUGUUAGUUGCCAGCGAGUCAAGUCGGGAACUCUAACAAGACUGCCAGUGCAAACUGUGAGGAAGGUGGGGAUGACGUCAAAUCAUCACGGCCCUUACGCCUUGGGCUACACACGUGCUACAAUGGCCGGUACAGAGAGCAGCCACUGGGUGACCAGGAGCGAAUCUAUAAAACCGGUCACAGUUCGGAUCGGAGUCUGCAACUCGACUCCG